UUCUUUUCGUUUUCUGGCUGAUUAAACCAAACAAGGAGUUUAUCAACAAGCUCUUGGGGGUCACAAAAUUGUAGCAAGCCUGGGAAACGGGGCUCAUGCCAUGCUUCCAAAAGCAAUGCCCGUGCCAGUACUGCACAAGUGCCCGCUCUCCCCCCGCAUGCCACCUCUGGGUCAGGAAGCUGAUCGUCCAGCUACCAUCAACUGCACAGAAGACAGGGGUGUUCCUGGGCAGCCAGAACAUGACAAAUGUCCACCCGAGCCUCUUGCCCAGACUGUUCACCAAAAAGACACCCAGCCUCUUGCCAGUCCUGUGAACUCCUGGCAGAGAUGCCUAGACUGUAAAACCUCCCUGAGACCCUGACACACCACAUCGACCGAGGGGUGAGGUGCCCCCAUACCCAGGAUCAAGUGUCAUCUCCCGCUGGCAGGAGGCGUGAGGAGGACGGGUCUCUUGAGCAAUUGUCCUAAGCGUCCCCUGUCUUCCUCCUCCGUACACCGGGCUGGCAAUGCCCUUCCACAUGGCCCCGCCCACAGGUACGUUUCCACACACAUGGACUGGAGCUGAGUCUGCCUUCCUCAUCUCCUGUGAGUGACUGCUGUAUCCGUGGCCCCCAGGGGACCUCUCACCACUCACAGUCUGUCUCCCCUCCCAACUAAAUCUGGACAGGUCUUGGGACUUGCUUGACCAGGGGAACAUGGCAGAAAUGCGGCUGCACCAGUGUCUUCAGAGGCCUGGAAGCUUCACGCUCUCUUGGAACCCAGAGGCCAUCUGUGAGGAAGCCAGACCAUCCUCUGGGAGGGAAGGCCGUGUGCACAGCUGCGAGAGUGGUCCUGAGCAGUCAUGCAGCAGCCCACCCUAGGGAGCCCACAGAACCAGGAGAAAUGGUAAGUCAUGAGUGUCGAGGCGGCUUAUUCCUCAGUAAUAGGUAACUAAACCCUGCUCCAACAUCCCAGCCUUUUUCGCUAGGUCUCCUCCAGCGCUGGUGUUUCCCAAGCAGCUCUUUGCCAGGGGCGGGGUUGAGGGAGCAGCCAGUUGUAGCAUCUGCCCAUUUCUUGGUGUAAACAUUCCUGUCAUGGAUGACUUCAAGCCAGCCACAAGACAGGCAGAAACAUGGAAAUGAGAAGGAAUAUGGCCAUCCUCAUGGGGAGAUGGGGAGCAGGUCCGGUACCCUGCCGGGCUCUCCCUCCAGCACAGCCAGGCCUACACAGAACGAGGUCAGCGGCUCACGGACGGUGUGUAAGCUCCAGCAGGUAAUGUGGCAGUCACAAGCAUGGUUUUUGACCGUCACAGAGCUGUUCUGGGUGGAAAGAACUGAAUCUGGCUCCAAGCCCCAGAUCUCCGGAGCCUCUUCUCUCUUUUCUUCCUAUAAAGUGGUGGAGACGGGCUCCUCGGCUGCAGAACGGACGCA
rnacentral:lncRNA from 1 species